UCCGUAGGUGGAUAAUUAAGUCAGAGGUGAAAUCCUGCAGCUCAACUGUAGAAUUGCCUUUGAUACUGGUUAUCUUGAAUUAUUGUGAAGUGGUUAGAAUAUGUAGUGUAGCGGUGAAAUGCAUAGAUACUACAUAGAAUACCAAUUGCGAAGGCAGAUCACUAACAAUAUAUUGACACUGAUGGACGAAAGCGUGGGGAGCGAACAGGAUUAGAUACCCUGGUAGUCC
rnacentral:rRNA from 1 species